rnacentral:lncRNA from 1 species
GGGUGGCGUCUUUCAGCCUCCGGGACCUUAUAGCCUUAUAGGAAUAUAUAUCUCGGUGAUUUUUCAUCCCGCAUUUAAGAGCCGACGGCUUGGGGGUUUAUAGACCAAGGAGGACGAAUCCCACAAGGUUAUGAAAGUCCUCAUGGAAUUUCAAAUACAGUUAAGGAAAAACGCAAAGGAAGGAAUUAUGCACGGAAACAGUACAUGUAAUUAUUCCUUAGCGAAUUCGCUAUAUCGUCACUAUACAUGUAUUGACGCAUCCGCUAUCUCGUCAUUGAAAGAUUGACGUAAAAGCAAACGUGCUUAGGAUGCGUGUUACGGUGUAACGGAAAGAAUUGUACAUGUGUACGACGUAAUAGAUCGUUGCGGCAUUUUACUCAGGUUUUAACCUAGUCGCACUUGUGUCCCUUGAAAGGCAUCCGUUGUGUUGCUGCUGUGUGGCCGCAUACGGUACAACAUGUAACAUCUGGUCUUGCCUAUCCUUGUCUUGCUCUGUGUCUUGCUGUGUCGCGUCCUCAGCUCUGUAAUUCGUUUGCGUGUUUGUCCCAGUUGGGUCGGUCCUGAGGAAUGUAUAGAAGGGCAUAUGGCGGCCGCGGUUGCGUUGUUAGGAGGAACGUUGACGGCCGUUGGUCGCGGCGUGACCUUUCUGCCGGUCAUUUCGGUUGGCUCCUGAGUCUGAUUUCUUGUCCAUCUCCUCCAUUCUCAACAAUAAAUGCACCGGAGUAUCAGUAUAUCGCGUUGAAUUGCGUCCCUGCGGCGGGAGGACAGUGACCGAUCGGUCGCGACAAGAGUGGUAGCACUACCGUGCUCCCCUGCUCCUAUGCCCUACAAAAUUAACAACAUUCUACCUUUUUAUUCGCUCGAUGUGCGGCUGUGCACCUCAAAUUUUAUUUAAGGGAGAGGAAGGUGACAAGUUGGCAUUUGCUGCGAUCCGCGGCCAGGAGACUGCAG